AUGCUUUCACCAAACUGUGCAUCUGCUGCUUCUUACCAGUCUUUAUCAGCAUACCUUGGCUUCAAUGGAAGGAAACCCGAUGUCCUGGUUAGCACUUCUGUUUCUAUUGAAGAGUUUCCUGAGGCUGAUGAAAAUAUCAGGAUUGAAGAAAAUAAUGUAAAACAAUUGCAUACUAGUAGUUCAGCUCCAAUUCAGAAAUCCAGUCCCUGCCUAAAACCCUCACAUCUUCUUGUUUAG